rnacentral:rRNA from 1 species
CAAUAGCGUAUAUUUAAGUUGUUGCAGUUAAAAAGCUCGUAGUUGAACUUCAGGUCUGGCUGGGCGGUCUGCCUUCUUGGUUUGUACUGUCCGGCUGGGUCUUACCUCUUGGUGAGCCGGCAUGCCCUUCACUGGGUGUGUCGGGGAACCAGGACUUUUACCUUGAGAAAAUUAGAGUGUUCAAAGCAGGCUUAUGCCCGAAUACAUUAGCAUGGAAUAAUAAAAUAGGACGUGCGGUUCUAUUUUGUUGGUUUCUAGAGUCGCCGUAAUGAUUAAUAGGGAUAGUUGGGGGCAUUAGUAUUCCGUUGCUAGAGGUGAAAUUCUUGGAUUUACGGAAGACUAACUAUUGCGAAAGCAUUUGCCAAGGAUGUUUUCAUUAA